rnacentral:rRNA from 1 species
CAGCAGCGCCGCGGGAAUACGAAGGGUGCAAGCGUUACUCGGAAUUACUGGGCGUAAAGCGUGCGUAGGUGGUGGUUUAAGUCCGUUGUGAAAGCCCUGGGCUCAACCUGGGAAUUGCAGUGGAUACUGGGUCACUAGAGUGUGGUAGAGGAUAGUGGAAUUUCCGGUGUAGCAGUGAAAUGCGUAGAGAUCGGAAGGAACAUCUGUGGCGAAGGCGACUAUCUGGGCCAACACUGACACUGAGGCACGAAAGCGUGGGGAGCAAACAGGAUUAGAUACCCCUGUAGUCCCUGUCUCUUAUACC